CUGCUGAUUGAGUUUCCCCAUUCCACACAGGUUUAGGGACAUACAAGGCCCCACAUGGCCAAGGAAAUGCCGGGGAGACAAGAAACCCGAUGGAAAUUCCUGCACAAAUAUCAACAGAUGACCAAAAAUUAUGCAGCUCAGCCCUCCAACAUAGUGUCCAUGCUGCUUCAGAAAAGACCCGGGAAGCUCCCCAAGAUCCCCCUGACAAUACCACAAAAUUUCAUCCAGGUUUGCUGAGACCAGGUCGCACCGCAGGUGCAGGAGCCACACAUACUGAUUGCAGCAGCCCAUUCAACAAAUAGCUAUGGAAAUGGCUGACCCAUGGGCCACCUGGUGAGCAGGGCCAUGACAGGGAGGGCAGCAAGGGGAAGCAGGGCAGGUGGCCGGUCCCAUCAUCCUUUCUAUGUACCUUGUAGAUGGACAUUCCUGCACAAAUGCCAACAGAUGACAAAAAAUUCUGGAGCUCAGCCCUCCAACAUAGUGUCCAUGCUCCUUG